AGUGAACGCUGGCGGUAGGCCUAACACAUGCAAGUCGAACGGCAGCACAGUAAGAGCUUGCUCUUACGGGUGGCGAGUGGCGGACGGGUGAGGAAUACAUCGGAAUCUACUUUUUCGUGGGGGAUAACGUAGGGAAACUUACGCUAAUACCGCAUACGACCUACGGGUGAAAGCAGGGGAUCUUCGGACCUUGCGCGAUUGAAUGAGCCGAUGUCGGAUUAGCUAGUUGGCGGGGUAAAGGCCAACCAAGGCGACGAUCCGUAGCCGGUCUGAGAGGAUGAUCAGCCACACUGGAACUGAGACACGGUCCAGACUCCUACGGGAGGCAGCAGUGGGGAAUAUUGGACAAUGGGCGCAAGCCUGAUCCAGCCAUACCGCGUGGGUGAAGAAGGCCUUCGGGUUGUAAAGCCCUUUUGUUGGGAAAGAAAAGCAGCAGGUUAAUACCCCGCUGUUCUGACGGUACCCAAAGAAUAAGCACCGGCUAACUUCGUG
rnacentral:rRNA from 1 species